UUGGAGUGUACAUCGUUAUCUGACAUGAUCACAUACAUGAAUUUGCUUAUCGGUUUGUUGUCUUUCUUUCCAAACUCAAGGCAAGAUUAUGCCAGUGGGGGCUGUGUUGGUUUUAUGCACUGCUUUACUCAGCACCACAACCAUGUCUGAAAUAAGGUGUAGUCAAUAAAUAUUUUUUAAAUUAAAGAAUUUAAAAAUCUGCAGAUAACCCCCAACUCAGCUUAAUUGACAAUCUCAACCUUCUUACUCUACAGCUUCCAAUAAAUGCUUAUGGGACUUGAAAAAUAAGUAGCAAAAUAUAUGAUUUUUCAUUUACUUUCCUAAUCCUUUCCUAGAAGGACAUGAAAAUAGUAGAAUUAUCUAAACACAAUAAAGGGGAGAAAGAGGAGGAGGUGCUAAAGACAUAUUUUUCAAGAACCAACAAGAUUUACUGAUGGAUUGUAUAUGAGAUGUAAAAGAGCAUGAAAAACAAAUAGAAUAGAGGUAGCCACUUACCAAGAGAAUGAAGACUGUGGUACAAGAUGAUUUGGAUAGUGGAGCUGGGGAGUUGACUUAAUUUAGUCUGUGAGCACAAUUGCAAGUGCAUUGUGCCCAAGGCCGUGUGCUGAGCACAAGGAAUGCAGAGUAGAAGACACAGCCCCUAUCCUCAAGAACUUAUGGUUGGGAAGGAAUGAUAGAAAACACAGGUAAGGUGAUAAAUUGUGCUGAGGUUGGAAAAGCUUAGUAAAUCAAAUGAAAAAUUAAAAAUAGCUUUAGGCUAUGCAACAUUUAGGUAUGCAGAAAGACAUGCCUGCAUUUCUUUCAUAAAGCUUUUUGGUAAUCUCAUGUUUCUAACUUAAGUGUUCUUGGAGUAAUGUGUACAUUAAGCAUUUAUCAAAAAAGUCAUUUCUCACGUGGGGAGCUAUGAAAUUGACAAAGUUUGGAUUUGAAGUGACAAAGCCCUUCAGGAAAUUCUUCUAAUAAUUUUCUGUGUUUGACACCAAUUCAUUAGAUAAGUAUGAUGUAGAAGGAAUGAGAGCUGUGUGAUUGUCAUUACAGGUUAUUCAUUUUUUAGGCUGUGUCAGGAGAGUCCCCAGAGUGUGGCUUGUAGGAUUUAUUUAACCAAAAUGAUUGUAUCAUUGAUCACCAAAUUCCUUCCUGAUGAACAGACUUGGAAGGAAUGUGGGAAGGGCCUGCUGCUCUAGACCUUAGUCCCACCAGUGCUUACAUAUUCCCAUUUAUCCUAACAACUGGGGAUUCAAAGGUCUACUAAUAUUCUGAGGCCAAAGCUGGGUAGUAUUAGAGGGAAUUUUGAUAUUUCAUUUAAGUUGCAGUUGAAUAGCCUUAACUUUCUGCACAACGAUUGGUUCUUUUUGGUGAAGGUUUCCUUUUUGAAAUGAAGAAAACUGCUAUAGGUCUGGCGCUUUGGCUUUAUAAAGGUACUGUUGUCUUUGCUUUUCAGGUAAAGAAACUGAAGCCUACAGAAAAGCUUAUUCAAGCCCAUGCAAAUAAUAAUUGGUGAGGGUGGAUUUGAACCCAGGUCUGAUAGGCUCUAAUCUAUGUAAACCAUAUUAUUCUGGCUCUCUCAAGGCUUGUGCUAUAGAAUCCAAGAACUAGAGAUGAACUGAGAGGUCAGGGAGGCUAAGCUUCUCAUUAAUGUUCAUCCAACUUCUACAGGAAUAAUGUCUUUAAUUAUAUUUCUUUUUUCCCAGCUAAAACAUACUAUAUUUCAAUUUGUAUUACUAUAUCAAUAACAUACAAAAAUAUAAAUAUCUUGGAAUAUUGUGGCAGUGGCAGAAGAAGUUUUAAAUAUCCUCAAUUUUUUUAAAAAAUAGAGCAAAAAGAUAGCAAAACCAAAACACAUGAAUGUCAUUAACAAAUUAAAUUGACAAAAAUAUGAUUUUGGGGAGACAAAUCAUUAAUAGCAACAAGGGCCCACAUUAUAUCAGCCAUAAUUUAGCAGGAGGAAGCUAAGGGGAGAAACAAAGCAGUUGACAUGCCUCAGGAUCCCCAAAUGUCCAACAUGUACUCAAUGGAAAGUAGCCAAAACUGGGAGAGGCUUUGUGUACUCUACUAGCAGGUGAAUAAAAAGAGUUAACAGUAAGAUCUAAAGGAGUGGAAUGGUCUGGGUUUCUUGAACAUUUGAAACUUCCUUCCAGGGUAGUCACUCACUGAGGACAAACUGUUGAGAGCAGGACCCAAACUGAGCAGUAUAAAGACAAGGGAAAGAGAAGGUAAAGAUAAAAGUGGAAGAAGUGCCUAGAGGUUUCAUGCAAAAUAAGACUCACACCACAUUGGACAGGCAGACCUGUAAACAAGUAGGUCUUCAUUAAUUCAUUCUACAAAUAUUUCAUGAAUAACCAACUCUUUUGGGUAGGCAUUGGAGGAGCACUGCACCUAAAAUAAGAAAAUUGUAGUAUGAAGCAAAAUAUGAUAGGUGCUAUAUGGACAAAGUAUUAUGAUAGUAUAGAGAAAUGGAAAUUUAUUUCUGUCUGGGAGAUUAGCAAAAACUUACCAGGGCAAUAACAUUUCAGUUGAAUCUUCUAAGAUGUGUAAUAUGUGCUCUUACUUUAAAAACCAUCAAUUCACAUUAAAGGAAUAUUUAGAACCCACUGCCUCAAUAACUACUCAUCCUUAAUCCAUAUGUUCUAGUUUGCAUCACUCAACAUGACUGAAACCCACUGUCUGAAGGCCAUUGAUCAUCUCUUAGCAACAUUUCUUCAGUCGUUGUCCGCAUAAACUCUGCCCAAUUCAUUAUUGUUGAGUAUUGCCUUCUAGAAAUUAUUUUCUUCCUUUUCUUCUGAACAACCAGGGUGCCCUGAUCUCCCUCCUGCCUUCCAACUGUCCCUUUGGUGUCUUUUGGCUGCUUUUAUCACCUCUUUGGUCAUGCCUUCUGUGCUCUCUGUGUUCUCCUGCCUUGGCAUUACCUGAAGUCAUAUGCAGUUAACAUGGAAGUAUCUACGACACUCUUGCCUGUAGGAGCUCCAGACAUGUAUUUCUGACUCUCUGCUCAUCAUUUCUUUCUGUAUGUCCAUCUGUCACCACAAAAUUGAUAUGCCCAAAAUUGGACCCAUUUUCUUCUUCCAACCAAAUCCUUCUCGUGACCUUGCCAACCCAAUUAAUAGCUUCUCCGCUUCCUGGUCCUGACUUAGAAUCUUUGAGUCAUCCCUAACUACCCUGUGGAUGUGUUUGUUGUCUUAAACUUGGACAGCUUCUAUUUCUCUGUGUCGAGAGGACUUACAUGCUCUUUGGAACUUUUCCUGUGUGCAAGGCUUUGAAUGGACUUCAUCCAAACCCAGUGAUAAGGUUCCCUGUGAUAGCUUAAUUGGCAGGGUCUACCCUCAUUCCCUAGUGGAUCACACCAUGUCUGCAUCUGAUUUGGUGAUAGCACAUUCAGGCUCCAGACCAGUACCAGGCACUUUAUACUGCUAGCUUAGGUUAUGAAUAUUAGAAUUAAUGCAGCCGUCAACACUAUCUUACUAGCUUAACAUGAACAAAGUACAAAUGCUUCUUCUGUGGAGGGAGGAGCUCUCAAGCAUAGAUAGUCCCACAUUUAUCCUCCAGGGCUUUUAUUCCCAACCAUACUUAUACUUGUCAGGUUAUUUUUUUCUGCUGAGGAAAUGGCCUUAAUUUACAUUGAUUUUUAAGAAAAAAGAUUUAUUACAGGCACAGCAUCUGCUGUUUGUGCCUAGAGGUAAAGGUUUAGGUUGAAGCAGCUUCCUCCGCUUAUCCAUCUGCUUGUUCAUCCCACAAGCAUUACUGAAAGCUGACUUUGAUGCGGGAUGCUGGCUAAUCAGGUAGGUUGUGUAGUUCCUGCCCCCAAGGAGUUCACUGUCUAGGUCAUAGUUACACUAACUCUGUCAUCUUGCUUAGUGUUUAUUAGCCCUGAGGAUGUAAUCACUCAUUCCUUCACUAAUUCACUUCCUUUUAAUCUCUUCCUCUUUCAUAUCCUUAGUUACCAUCCCUUUGUGGAUGAUUUUCAAUAUGUUUUAGACUCAGUGCUUGACCUUCACAACUAUAUUCGAAAGGUAAGUAUUGAAUUCUAAAUAUAAUAUAAGCAUUGUGCUAGAGGUUUAGAAUACACUAAGAAACCAACAGCAUGGUCCCUGCCCCUGGAGUCUUCUGUUAACAUUAUACAGGUUUCCAUACUAUCCUCACCCUCUAGAAAUUUAUGUCUUAAAAUCAUGAUGUUUGCAAUCACGAUCCAUGUAGAUUGUUUUCUUUGUCUUUUUCUUUCUACAUAGAUAAGUUGCCUC
rnacentral:lncRNA from 1 species